rnacentral:rRNA from 1 species
UACGAACCGUGCGAACGUUGUUCGGAAUCACUGGGCUUAAAGGGCGCGUAGGCGGGCUGUCAAGUCUGGGGUGAAAUGCCGCGGCUCAACCGUGGAACUGCCUUAGAUACUGACGGCCUCGAGGGAGGUAGGGGCGUGCGGAACUGUAGGUGGAGCGGUGAAAUGCGUUGAUAUCUACAGGAACUCCGGUGGCGAAAGCGGCGCGCUGGACCUCUUCUGACGCUGAGGCGCGAAAGCUAGGGGAGCAAACGGG